AACGAACGCUGGCGGCAGGCUUAACACAUGCAAGUCGAACGCCCCGCAAGGGGAGUGGCAGACGGGUGAGUAACGCGUGGGAAUCUACCCAGAUCUUCGGAACAACUGAGGGAAACUUCAGCUAAUACCGGAUACGCCCUACGGGGGAAAGAUUUAUCGGUUCUGGAUGAGCCCGCGUUGGAUUAGCUAGUUGGUGGGGUAAUGGCCUACCAAGGCGACGAUCCAUAGCUGGUCUGAGAGGAUGAUCAGCCACACUGGGACUGAGACACGGCCCAGACUCCUACGGGAGGCAGCAGUGGGGAAUAUUGGACAAUGGGCGAAAGCCUGAUCCAGCCAUGCCGCGUGAGUGAUGAAGGCCUUAGGGUUGUAAAGCUCUUUCAGUAGGGAAGAUAAUGACGGUA
rnacentral:rRNA from 1 species